UACGUAGGGGGCGAGCGUUGUCCGGAUUUAUUGGGCGUAAAGAGCUCGUAGGCGGUUCGAUAAGUCGGAUGUGAAAUCUCCACGCUCAACGUGGAGGGGGCCAUUCGAUACUGUCGUGACUCGAGUCCGGUAGGGGAGUGUGGAAUUCCCGGUGUAGCGGUGAAAAUGCGCAGAGAUCGGGAGGAACACCCGUAGCGAAGGCGGCACUCUGGGCCGGUACUGACGCUGAGACGCGAAAAGCGUGGGGGAGCAAACAGG
rnacentral:rRNA from 1 species